GUGCUUACUUCAGCAGCACACAGACUACAAUUGGGAUGACAGAGAAGAUUAGCGCGGCCCCUGCACAAGCAUGACAUGCAGAUUCGUGAAGCCUUCCAUAUUUUU
rnacentral:snRNA from 1 species